rnacentral:rRNA from 1 species
GACGAACGCUGGCGGCGUGCUUAAUACAUGCAAGUCGAACGGAAAGGCCCUGCGUUUGUUGGUUGCUCGAUUGGCGAACGGGUGAGUAACACGUGUGGAACCUGCCCUUGUCUUUGUGAGAACUUCAGGAAACUGGGGCUAAUACCGGAUAGGAUCUCCUGCUGCACGGUGGGGGUUGGUAAGUUUCGGCUGUUGUGGAUGGUCUCGCGGCUUAUCAGCUUGUUGGGGGGGUAGUGGCUUACCAAGGCUUUGACGGGUAGGCGGCCUGGGAGGGUGACCGGCCACCUUGGUACUGCGAUAGGGACCAGAAUCGUACGGGCGGCAGCAGUGGGAAAUAUGGCGCAAUGGGCGGAAGCGUGAUGCGGCAGCGCCGCGUGCGGAAUGACGGCUUUCGGGUUAUAAACAGCUUUCGACUGUGACGAAGAGUGAGUGACGGUAAUGGGUAAAGAAGCAACGGCUAACUACGUG